rnacentral:lncRNA from 1 species
UGGUCUUGAACGGAUCAUCUCGGCAUCCAAUCCAUCACCCAGAUUUAGGCCAAUUUAUGCAAAAGUAAUGUUUGAGUUGCUUCUUGUUGUGGGCUUCUCCAGAGCAGAUCUCAACUUCUUAAGCCGCACUUUGUUCCUGCCCUGGGCGGUAAAGUCAGUUUCCUGCGUUCGUUUACAAGCAUUGACGCUGCCUUAGGAGGUUAUUUUGUUGUGCAAGCAUCUCGGAUACGCUCGCCGGUACCUUUGCAAGGAGGGAGAGAAGCAGCAUCACCAAUGGCGAGUUUAAAGAUGUUUCUACUGGUUUUUAUCUUGUUGUCGGUGUUUGUUGCUUUGAGUUCCCAGGGAACUAUAAGCAAAUCUACAUUGAGUAAAGAUAAAACCCUUUGCCGUGUAGCAGGUUCAUCAUAUGCCACGUGCUCUUCGACCUCCAGCGUUUACUCAGGGGGAUGCUAUACUGGCUGUGCAAAAACCGCAUGAAUCUUCAACAUGGAAUUGUGUGAUCUGCAGGUGUUUGGUCUGUAGAUAUGCAUGUCAGGUUAGUAGACCUGAGGUACGUGCGUGAUAGUUCUUGAAACUCAAGAUGUGGUUGUGUAAGCACAUCGUCCUCGUCACUUGAGGAUACUAGUAUCGCAGUCCUUGGGUACAGGCGAUUGUGAUGAAAUUGUGACCUCUCUUGAAAGCCAUAAUGUCAACUUAUUCUUAUUAGAUAAACUCCUGGUUUUAACUUUUGAUGGGAAAACUUGUUUCUGGAAUACAUUUACUUGAGAGUCGUGGAAUUUGAUAGACUGUGAGGUUUAGUUCGAUCCUUCCUGGCAUCUGUGAUGAUGCCAAGUUGAUGAUCGGAUCAGGUGGCCAUUAAGCGUGCAAGAGCUCCUGGUAAUCUGGAGAUAGCGUGCGUGGAAAUGAAUUGACAUUAAUCAAAGCCAUUGAUACACGCAGUUGUUAGUGUAUUGUCACAAACCCAAAUUAUCUUUGAACGCAUCCUGUUGAUUUAAGUUGAUACAUGAUUUGAAGUCGACUUCAACAUCAGUCACCGCAACCUACGAGGUGUAGCCUUCAGAAGUAGGAGCAUGUGUAGUCGUGAGUUGCCGUCAUGGAACUGGGUUUUGGUUCUUGCUGGCUCUCCUUGCAUGUACAUCAAAAUUACUAAAUCAUUUUUUUCUUAUCUUUAUUUUAAUUCCAUUUCUUAAUAAACUAUCCUCUUUCAAUUUUCUUACAAUUUAUCAAUUAACACUUGUACUUAAAGUGAAUAGCAUCGUAUGCAAAACCCUAAUAAUGUUUUUAGAAUUUUUGAAAUAAUAGUCUCAACUAUCUUCUUAUUAUCUUUUUUUUUUUUUGACUUUUUACAUAAAAAAAUGUUUAUAGUACAAUAACAUUCUUUAAUUGUCUUAUUAAAAAUUUGUUGCUUCAAAUGAGAGUAAUUUAGAAGUAACUACAUGCCUGAAAAAGAUUAAGAUGAUAUUUUAAUGUUGUCACAUGUUACAUAGUAAAAAUUAUAAUAUGUUGAAAGAUUUAAAUUACAAUAUUAAAAGAGUUUUUUAAAAAAUAAUCUAGCUUAUAAAUUGAGUUUAUCUAAAAAUGAAUGUUCAAUAAUAUUAUUUAUAUUAAUAAAACUUUUAUUUCCUAAGUAGGGCUUAAAAUAAAUAAAAAUAAAUGAUAUAGGUAGUAAAAAAAAUAUAAUUAUCCUAAUUACAAAGUAAAGAAAAGGUUUUUUCAAAUUUUAAAAUUAAAUGAUUAGAUUGAUACCAAAAAGUUGACCACUUGUGAUAUACAAUCAAAAUCAAAUUCUAAAUACAAAAUCAAUAAUUUACUAUAAUCAAAGUUAUUUUUACACUGUAAGAAGAUGAAGUUUAUUAGCUAGUUUUAAGAACAUUCACAGAAGAUAAAGGAUGUUAGAUUAUAACUAAAUUAGGCCUUCAACAAAAUAAAUAAAUCCAAGAUUUAUGUGUAAUAAAUGUUUAAACAUAAAUAUAUAUUAGCCUGAAUUUUAGAUAGAUUUUUCAUAUUUUAAGCUUAAUUUUUAUAUUUUUAUAAUUUUAUGAGCAAAAAGUGUAAUUUAUAAUUUUUUGUUUCAUUUUAUCAACGCAAUAAUAAGAUAUCAAAUUGCAUAUAAAAGUAAUUGCCAAUAUUGGAUAAAUUCUUAAUUAUCUAAAGAUUUUUUCAAUGUAUAACAAAAAAUCUUAAAAUAUUAAAAUAAGACAUAUUAAAUUAUCAAGGCACAAAUAGGAAGAAGAUGCAUAAAGUCAUGGACUCUAUAUCAAAAAGAAAGUGACAAAAUAGAAGAAAGUAUGUAUAUUCAAAGAAGAACUAAAAUGGCUAUUGCCAAAGACUAGAAAAUAUAAGACUCUUGAAACUAGACUAAAAACCAAGAAAGGAGUUGACAAGAGUGAAGAAGGCCUCAAUCUUGCCUCUAUGUAUACUACUUAAUUAAAUAAUACGUGGUGACAUGCUAUAUAACCUCUAGUAUGCGACCAACUUACAAAAUACAUGUCUAAUUUUUAAAGCAAGUUUCCUAGGUGUGUACCAUAUGUCCAACUUGUACUACAAGUGGUCAAUAUGUUGACACAUGGCUUCUUUGUUGACCUAGUUUUCAACAUAUCAAUCACAUAUAGAUAUUUAUAAAAGCAAAGCAGCAUCUAUGAAGCUUCAGGAAAGCUUUCUAUAAGAUAUUAUCAUAUUUAUCUACUUUGAUUUACUUCUAUCUAUUCUUAUUAUCUAGAUAAUUAUCAGGAUAAACAUGUAUGUCCAUGAUAUUACCUUCUCUUUUAGGAACGAGUUCCAUGAAGAGUAGUGAUUAUAUGUAAAUAAAGUCGAAGAUGCACCAAACUAUAUUUGUUAUGUACUCUAAUCUUUGUUUCCUUCAAAGGUAGUUGAUAGGUCCCUUCAACCAUCAAUAAUGUUCCAUAUCAGGGCAAGAAGACCAUUCUAAUAUUUGAUCAUUAUUGAGGCCUUCACAACUUCCUUCAAACAAAAUAUUAGUAAUACCAUCAAGAGUGGUUCCUAUCUCCAAAAGUAUUACUAAACACCAAGAGUUCCUUCCAAAGUCGUGAUAUCAAAUGCAUUGUAUCUCACCAUCUAUUCGAGGAAGAAUAAGUCGUUCUUGAGGAUCUUCAUCUCAAUUUUGAUGUCUCAAAGGUUGUGAUAGUCGCAAUGUCUCGUCUGGUAGUUCAAAAAAUGAUAGCUCUUGAAUUGAAUUUGCUGGUUAUUGGUUUUCCAUCUCCUAAGUACUAAAAAAUCUAAAAAAAUUAUGACAAAAGAUAAAAUGAAAUUUCCAUUGGACUUGCUUUACUUUAUAGCAAAGAAUUUCUUGACCCUUCAUCUUGAUUUUGAUAGAAGUCUUUAAUGAAAAGCUUUAACUUUUGCUGAUGUAUUUAUUAGAUUCUUAGAUGGCUCCCAUGUGCAUUCAUUAAUAUCAUAUCCAUGCCAAUGUACUAGAUAUUCUAACCUAUUUCGAUGCCGCCUUGAAUCUAAGUCUUCUUCCACCUUAAAUUCUUUAUUAUUGUCCACUUCUAUAGGAGGUAGUAGAAUUUGUCUCUUUUCUUAUAUAUCUAUUGUCUUGUAUGGCUCAAGUAAAGUCACAUAGAACAUAUGAUGGAUUUUCAUAGACUUUGGUAGGUGUAAUCGAUAAGCAACUGGAUUGAUCUAUUUACAAAUGAGAAAUGGUCCAAGCCUAUGAUAAUCUAGCUUGUCAUAAGAACAAAUAGUUUUAAUAUUAUGACAAAGUAAUCAUAUCAUAUCUUCCAUGUAGAAUUAAAGUUCUUCCUUGCAAUAAACAUCUGUGUUGGCUUUUUGUUGUUCUUGAAUUUCUUUUAAUUAUGCCUUUAUUGUUGCAUGUAGCUUUGACAAUCAAUUUGCCAUAUCUUUCGCCAUAGGAUUAUCAACAUUUGAAAAGUCAAAAGUGUCAAAUCGUAGAAGAUAACCGUAAUUGGUAAAAAAAAGUAUUUGUUGAAUAGAAGAAUGUACCGAAUUAUUGUAAGAAAACUUUGCCAAUGGCAAAAAAGUUUUCCAAUCAUCUUAUUGAUAGUUGAUGGUACACCUCAAAUAAAACAUGAUUUAUCUGUUCUGUUUGUUGAUCAGUUUGAGGGUAGAAAGCCAAAGAUUGUUUUAUAUCCACCUUCAAUAUCUUGAAAAGAAUUUUUCAAAAUCUCAAAAAAAACUGUGUUCCUCUGUUAGAUAUAAUAUCCUUUAAUAAUCCAUGAUAGCAAUAAAUAUUGUCAAAAAAGAGUUUAGUUAUUCUUUCACUUGUGAUAGAUUUUGUACAUAGUACAAAAUAUGCCAUCUUAAUGAAACAAUUUACAAUCACGAGUAUAGAAUUAUAUGAAUUUGAAAUUAAAAGAUUUGUGAUAAAAUCCAUAGAGACAAAAGACUAUGGUUGUUCUGGUAUGGAUAAUGGUUGGAGGAGUGUAUAAGGUCGAUGACAAGGAGUUUUUGAUCUUGAACAAACAUCAUAUGUCUGUACAAAUUCUUUAACAACCUUUCACAUUUGAAGCCACCAAAAAUCUCUAGUUAUAAGCUCCAAAGUCUUAUUAUAUCCAAAAUAUCUUGCUAUAUGGAAAUUGUGAUGAGCUUCAAGAGCACGUAAUUGUGCUUCUCUUUUUGGAACAUAUAAGCAUCCUUCAAAAUAGAAUAAGUUCUUCUUAAACUCAAAUUUGGAAGUAUCUUGAGACUUAGAGGAAUUAUUUUUAAUAUCAUGAAUAAAAAGGUCUGAGGACAUACUUGCUUGAAUCUGCUUGAAAAAAGUCAAAUCAAUAGUCAAUGUUGAUUUCAUUGCUCGGAGAUGAAAUUAUUUUGGCUUUAGUAAAAUUAUCUUUUGUUGGUCAAAAGUUGCUUCUUUUUCUUUUGGUGUAAAAUAAGAACGUCUAGAAAGGGCAUCAAACAAACAUUGUUGUUUUUUUGGCCAAUAAGUGAUAUUAAACUCAAAUCCUCAUAAAAACAUAUUCCAACGAGCUUGACAAUAAUUUGAAACAUGUGUUGAUAUGAAAUACUUGAGAUUCUUAUGAUCCAUAUACAUGGUGACUGAACUUGAAGCUCUUUCUAAACAAUGAUGCUAUUCUUAAAAAGAAUCCACAAUUGCAAGAAGUUCCUUGUCGUGGAUUUCAUAAUUAAUCUUGACUACUAAAAAUUUUCUAGAAUGAAAAGCUACUAGAUAAAGUUUGCCAUCUACUCCUAUUUGUGAUAAGAUUGCAUUCAAGGCAAAGUCAGAUGCAUUUGUCUCCAUAAAAAAUAUUUUGAAAAAGUCAACGCGAUGCAAGAUUGCUGCAAAAAUAAAAGUUUUCUUCAAAACUUCAAAUGAUGCUUUUGCUUCUUUAUUCUACUUGAGCUUGUCUUUAUAAGUUAAACAUGUAAGUGACACUACAACUUAAGAAAAUUUCUUAAUGAAGAUCCAAUAGUAAUUGGUAAAUUCCAAAAAGCAUUAUACAUCUCUUAUUAUUUUUGGAGUCUUCCAGUCCAUGAUUGUCUGAACUUUUUUAAGAUCCAUCAUAAGACCAUUGUUUGAAAUGAUGUAUCCUAAGAAGUCAACUUAGAUAGUGUGGAAUACACACUUUUUCUAUNNNNNNNNNNNNNNNNNNNNNNNNNNNNNNNNNNNNNNNNNNNNNNNNNNNNNNNNNNNNNNNNNNNNNNNNNNNNNNNNNNNNNNNNNNNNNNNNNNNNUUUGAAUGGUGUAUGAAAUUCUUAGCCAAGUUCUCAUCAAUGUAUUUCUUGAGUUAACCAACUUAUUUUGUAAUAAACUAUAGAUUGGACCAAAUGGCGACUGAGUUCUUUCUUUAAGAUUAAUUGAAAAAUCAUAUAAACGAUGCUUUGGGAGAAUAUCUAUAUAUUUUUUUUGAAAAACAUCUUAAGAAUCUUGAUAUUGAUUUGGAAUUUUACUUGAAAUCUUUCCAUCAUUUAAAAUGGAUGUGGCGUAAAUAACAAAAGACAAUCCUUUUUUUGCAACAUGCAAAAAAGCUUUUGCACCUACAAGUACAUGUUUGGCUAUACUAGAUUCAUGGCUUUCUAUUGGAUUAGAAAAACUCUUAGUAAUAUUUGAAAAAAAAUCAAGUUUACGAGAAAUCUAAUCUAUUACAAGAUUAUACUUUUUUAGCCACGAUGAACCUAAAAUGACUAGAUUAGAAGGAGAUCUAAUUAUAUUAAAAAUUAUGCAACUAUUAUGACCAUUUAUUACUACAUCUAUAGGAAGUGUUUCAUGAGUAACAUCUCCAAAAGAUAACAGACGACCAUCUAUGACUUCUACGUGUAUUGAUUUAGUUUUUUGUAGUAAUUAUAUAUUAUGUUUUUUAACAAAUUCUUCAUCUAAAAAACAAGCAGAGGCUUGUGAAUCUAUUAAGGCAAAGGCUUUGUGGUUAUUAGAUCUUAAACGCACAUCUAUUGUAAAACAAGGAGAGGAUUUUGAAGAAAGAAUAGGGCCUUCAUUAGGAAUUUUAUAAGAUUUCAAUUGCACGAUCCCUAUUGUAGUUAGAAAAAUUUAUUUUUUGACAUGUUUUCAUCUUUGACAAUAAUACUCCUUAUUUUGUAGUUGUCAUUUCUUUAGAUAAUAUUGAGUAGUGUGCUUAGCUUUUCUAUAAUAUAAACAUAGUCUUUUUUAACAACGACGAGUCUUUUCUUGUUUGAUAAGAUGUUUAAAAUAUAUUACAUUAAUUUACAUGUCUUCUACUUUCAAAUGCUUAGAUUGAAAAGUCGUUGGAGUUAUCAUUGAAUUAUAAUAACAUUGAGGUUUUCUUGUAUAAUUCUCAGAUUGAAGCUCAAAAAUCCGAUUGUCACAUUUCACAACAAAGUCAAUUGCUUGAUUCAAUGUAUGAGGAUUAUAUAAAUUAAGCAUCAAUUUCUUUAUUUCAUAUUGUAAUCCGUAGAAAAAUUGACUGAUGAGUACUGCAUCAUCCUAUUUAAUAUCUAUCACUAAUUGUUAAAAUUAUAAAGCGUAUAAUGUCACUGAUCAAUUGCUUUGUUACAAGACACGAAUCUUGUUGAUUGUAAUAUGGAUUGCAUCAUAUUCUCCAUGCAUAGAUCAAAACUCUACUAAGAAUGCUUCCAAAUUAUCCAAUAUUGGAUCACAUCAUUCAUAAAAUGAUAAAAAUCAUGAUAAAACAGAACCUUAAAAUAA